rnacentral:misc_RNA from 1 species
UAUGAAUACUUGACCUUGCAGUCAUUGGCAUGGAUUAAGCUUUUUAAAUUGAUGUAACUUUGCUUGGUAAUGUGAUAUUGUGGCAUUCAAUUGUACAGACAUUUUACUUUCUACUCGAACGUGAUGUUAUAUAUUUUUUUGCCAAAGUUUGUAUUUGCUUAAUACAAUAUUGACACAUGUAUAUAAAUGUACAAUCAUUGUCUUAUAUUUUAUUGAUGAAGAUUAUGUGUGGUAUAAGAUACCCCCAUUAUAUGAGAUUAUAGUUAAUACUACAGUGUUUGAACAAUAUGUCUUUUUGUUGAUACCUUUGUGUAUUGUUGUUGAUUUUGUGUGAAUGAAUUGUAACUUUAACAUUCAUUGAAACAGGGUCUAGAGUGGUACGAUGAAUAUAUGUGUAUGUAACUUUAUACAUGUACAUUAUUAUGUGUGAGAAAUUUUCAAGAAUGUGGUGCAUGAAAUAAAUAUUUUGGCUGUUUCUUAUUAAAAAUGUUUUCAUUGUUUGUUUGUGUGGGGUGGGGUUUUUUUUUGGUUCAAUUUUUAACUUUCAUUUAUGAUGUGAUACACAUAUUUGUUAUUAUACAUUUUGUUGCUUUAAGUUUCAGAGAGAAUUAAUGAAAAUAACUGAAUGUAGCAUUUUUUGUUUCCGUUCAUUUGUAGAUUUUUUUCAUAACUUAAAUCAUACAAAAGAAUUCCGUUAUUUGAUAUGGCACUUUGUAUAAAUAUUUUACACUUAUUCACCAUUACAUUAAAUGGUUAUAUUAAGGUAUAGAUGUAAAACAGUAUUUAUUUCUCAGAAUGGGGAAAGUUUGGAUUUUGGUUAUGUGUAUCUUAAAAAGCAAUAAAAUUAAUAAAUGAU